CUCGGCCCGAAGACAGUCCAGCCGGCGCCGCUUCCCAGGUUCCCCCAAAAGCAUCUUGGCAUAAGUUGGGGAUAAAAAUAGCCGGGGAUAACGCCAAGGGAAGGGGAGGAGCGAGUCUCGGGAAAGGCGAGGCGAGGAUACGACCAGCUUCUGCCCCUCGGGGGUGGAGAGGGUGGGUGCCACUCCCGGCCCGAGGCACUCGGGGGUGCGAGGCGUCAGGCGCCCUCCGCGGAGGUGCUGGGCUGAGAGCCCGCGUCCCGGCUUUGGCUUCAGCUUCUCCAUCGCCUCGCCCCGCUGCGCUCCAGGUUCAGCUUUUGGAGCCGGCUCUCCGGCUCCCGGACAGGACAGGCUGGGACCAGAAGGGCAGCAGCGCGGAGUCCGCCAGGCUGAGAGUGCGAAGCCGCACAGGUUCUAGAAGCCUCGAAAGCUCCUAUGGGCUCCAGGCACUGAGCCUAUGACUUUUGAUGGCCCUGUUAGAUGACACCACAGAGCAUGAGUGCUGAGCUGAUUCAGGUAAAGGGAGUCUGUUAAAUACUAUUUCCUAUAAAUAGCUCCUAGUUCAUCCAUUGUGCUGGAUAAACAACUUUAGACAACAUAUUGCUUUUAUUUAUGAUCUUCUGUCAAACUUUGCCCCAAAUUACACACAUUAGUGCUACCAGAAUUGCAAUAUUGCAGGCUUGAAGUGGUCCUCUGUUCAAAUUAUUAUAUCCUGCUGAGUGCUGGAAUGCCUUCAGGGCAACGGAAAAUUGUGGCACUCUGUUUGAUUUCAGGUUUGCUGGGAACAAAGCCGGCUGAUGCUCUGAUGAGUGGGUCUCUAUGAUUUUCACCUUUAUACCUUGUUCAAAGAUACUGCUAAGUUCACUGUGAUCAGGAAAAAAAACAAAAACAAAAACAAAAAAGUAACCUUUUCUCGCUCCCUCAGUUCAGUUGAGCCAGCCAGCACUUACUAGGUAUUUGUAGCAGAGGGUGGAUGUUUACAGGAAUGCAUGGAAUCCAGCAGUUCCUCAGAGCUCCUGUGUGUGUGUGAGCCCAGUUUAACAACGCUCUUGGGUCUGGUUCUCUGGGUACAGAGGAAGUUGGGGUGACAUUUGCUCUAUGAUCUUCCACCUUCCCAUCUUACCACCACCUCUCCAACCCAGGCAGCUCCUGGUGUCCUCUCUGGAGUCUUCACUGAAACCCUCUGGACAUGGCCCUAUGGUCCUCAAAAGCUCAGGGCACUGCGGUCUUCCUUGGAAGCUUUCUUUAGAUACCAGAUUUAAAGCAGAGCCAAGGCCAUACCAACUAGAGUCCUCUUUUUGCAC
rnacentral:lncRNA from 1 species